rnacentral:rRNA from 1 species
UCCGUAGGUGGAUAAUUAAGUUAGGGGUGAAAGUCUGCAGCUCAACUGUAGAAUUGCCCUUAAUACUGGUUAUCUUGAAUUAUUGUGAAGUGGUUAGAAUAUGUAGUGUAGCGGUGAAAUGCAUAGAUAUUACAUAGAAUACCAAUUGCGAAGGCAGAUCACUAACAAUAUAUUGACACUGAUGGACGAAAGCGUGGGGAGCGAACAGGAUUAGAUACCCUGGUAGUCC